rnacentral:rRNA from 1 species
UACGUAGGUGGCGAGCGUUGCCCGGAUUUAUUGGGGGUAAAGCGCGUGCAGGCGGCCUGUUAAGUCCGUUGUGAAAGCUCCCGGCUCAACUGGGAGAGGUCUUCGGAUACUGGCAGGCUCGAGGGAGGUAGAGGAAGGUGGAAUUCCCGGUGUAGUGGUGAAAUGCGUAGAGAUCGGGAGGAACACCAGUGGCGAAGGCGGCCUUCUGGGCCUUUCCUGACGCUGAGACGCGAAAGCGUGGGGAGCGAACCGG